rnacentral:rRNA from 1 species
AACGAACGCUGGCGGCAUGCCUAACACAUGCAAGUCGAACGAUUGCCUUCGGGUGAUAGUGGCGCACGGGUGCGUAACGCGUGGGAAUCUGCCCUUAGGUUCGGAAUAACAGCUGGAAACGGCUGCUAAUACCGGAUGAUAUCGCGAGAUCAAAGAUUUAUCGCCUGAGGAUGAGCCCGCGUUGGAUUAGGUAGUUGGUGGGGUAAAGGCCUACCAAGCCGACGAUCCAUAGCUGGUCUGAGAGGAUGAUCAGCCACACUGGGACUGAGACACGGCCCAGACUCCUACGGGAGGCAGCAGUGGGGAAUAUUGGACAAUGGGCGCAAGCCUGAUCCAGCAAUGCCGCGUGAGUGAUGAAGGCACUAGGGUUGUAAAGCUCUUUUACCCGGGAAGAUAAUGACUGUACCGGGAGAAUAAGCCCCGGCUAACUCCGUG